GAGGAAAGCGGGGGGCGUGCUUAACACAUGCAAGUCGAACGGAAAGGCCCUGCUUUUGUGGGGUGCUCGAGUGGCGAACGGGUGAGUAACACGUGAGUAACCUGCCCUUGACUUUGGGAUAACUUCAGGAAACUGGGGCUAAUACCGGAUAGGAGCUCCUGCUGCAUGGUGGGGGUUGGAAAGUUUCGGCGGUUGGGGAUGGACUCGCGGCUUAUCAGCUUGUUGGUGAGGUAGUUGCUUUCCAAGGCUUUGACGGGUAGCCGGCAUGAGAGGGUGACCGGCCACAUUGGGACUGAGAUACGGCCCAGACUCCUACGGGAGGCAGCAGUGGGGAAUAUUGCACAAUGGGCGGAAGCGUGAUGCAGCAACGCCGCGUGCGGGAUGACGGCCUUCGGGUUGUAAACAGCUUUCGCCUGUGACGAAGCGUGAGUGACGGUAAUGGGUAAAGAAGCACCGGCUAACUACGUG
rnacentral:rRNA from 1 species